AAGAAAUAUGAUCUUGCAAGAGGCCUAAGUCAGACUACUUUUCGAUCACCUCUGUAUGCUACAAGGUGACGAAGGUUUUCUCCACUUGCAAGUGCUAAAAGGCAAACUGUCUCCAGUGUGGUUCUUGCAAAGAAGUUAGCGUGAACACCACUCUAACACCAGGUGACUUUUUUUCCCACCUGUGAGGAGCUUAUCUGCGUGCUGAUAUGAGCUUGGAGUUUGGAAGCGACAAUCACAAACAACAACCAUUGUAAUGGCAACCCUUUUCUCCAUGACCCUUCUAAGACCGACCUGUGGCGGGAAUAUUCUCUGAGCUACCUCUUGAACACCUUUGGGACUGUUCCAAAAAUACUACACACACUCAUGGCUCUCUCUCUCCAUCUAUGAGCUGCAAGCUGUUCCUGGUGCUGAAAUACCUCGAUGAUGAUGCUCUGUUCUCAUCUGUGUCAUGUCUUUCAUCAUCUUUUUAGAAUUUAAGUGCUUUAACACAAGAAGUGGAGUGUGGAUAGUGCCCAGGAAAAAGAGGGUCACAGACGGCAGUCUGAUGGGUGGGAUUUAUUGUGUUUUAAUUCCUGCUCGUGAAGCACAUUGUGUUGCAUUGUGUUGCAUUUCACAUUUAGUAUGAAAUGUACCAUAUCAAUAAAGUAUUGAUUAAUUGUCUCA